rnacentral:misc_RNA from 1 species
UUGCAGGUGGCUCUACCAAAUCUGAG